UUCUGGUUGAUCCCGCCGGACCUGACUGCUAUCGGAUUGAUACUAAGCCAUGCGAGUCGUUGUAGCAAUACAAGGCAUACGGCUCAGUAACGCGUAGUCAACCUAACCUAUGGACGGGAAUAACCUCGGGAAACUGAGAAUAAUUCCCGAUAGAACAUUAUGCCUGGAAUGGUUUAUGUUCCAAAUGAUUUAUCGCCAUAGGAUGGGACUGCGGCCUAUCAGUUUGUUGGUGAGGUAAUGGCCCACCAAGACUAUUACAGGUACGGGCUCUGAGAGGAGUAGCCCGGAGAUGGGUACUGAGACACGGACCCAGGCCCUAUGGGGCGCAGCAGGCGAGAAAACUUUGCAAUGUGCGAAAGCACGACAAGGUUAAUCCGAGUGAUUUCUGCUAAAGAGAUCUUUUGUUAGUCCUAGAAACACUAACGAAUAAGGGGUGGGCAAGUUCUGGUGUCAGCCGCCGCGGUAAAACCAGCACCUCAAGUGGUCAGGAUGAUUAUUGGGCCUAAAGCAUCCGUAGCCGGCUCUGUAAGUUUUCGGUUAAAUCUGUACGCUCAACGUACAGGCUGCCGGAAAUACUGCAGAACUAGGGAGUGGGAGAGGUAGACGGUACUCGGUAGGAAGUGGUAAAAUGCUUUGAUCUAUCGAUGACCACCUGUGGCGAAGGCGGUCUACCAGAACACGUCCGACGGUGAGGGAUGAAAGCUGGGGGAGCAAACCGGAUUAGAUACCCGGGUAGUCCCAGCUGUAAACUAUGCAAACUCAGUGAUGCAUUGGCUUGUGGCCAAUGCAGUGCUGCAGGGAAGCCGUUAAGUUUGCCGCCUGGGAAGUACGUACGCAAGUAUGAAACUUAAAGGAAUUGGCGGGGGAGCACCACAAGGGGUGAAGCCUGCGGUUCAAUUGGAGUCAACGCCGGA
rnacentral:rRNA from 1 species